CUACCAUAUUCCUGAUGGAAGCCUUCUCCUCUUGAGUUCUGUAACACCCACAAUGUGCGUAGGGCUAGCCCACACCUCUAGCCUCAAAGUCAAAACCCGUGUGCCACAGGGACAAUUCCAAAUCUCUGUGCCUAACAACAGGCGGGAGCUUGCCUCAGGAUGAGCCAUCCCUUUCAGACAAGGGUUCUGGGAUAUGCUGUUUCCAUCUCUAAGGAAUUUGUCAGACAAACACAGCCUCUGCAACCUGUCUCCAUUCACCUCUUCAUCCUCAUUGCCCUCUAAAUGCAGCCUUUGUCAAGUCAGCCAGUACCCCCUGGUCUUCAACGGGCUGGCGAGAUGGCUCAGUGGGUAAGAGC